UCAAUUUCUUCCACGCGCAUAUAAAAACGUACUUGUGGCUCGCGAGGAGGCUUCAGUCUGUGACAUUGAGCGCUUCAUUGAGGAUCGUGGCUGGAAUUAGUAAAGCAUCUAAAACCACAAUGCAGAAAGUAACUAUUCUUCUGGUGAUCCUUGGACUCUUCGUGGGCUGUUUGUGGGCAGCUCCUGCUCCUCAAUACGCCAUUGCAGGACCCGUAACGUACGCUGGCUACACGACCUAUGCAUCCCCUUACGUCUAUCCCAGAUACUACACUCCCUACAGAUACGCAUAUCCUGGCUAUGGAUACUAUGGCUAUCCAUACGGUGUUAUUUAGACGAUCUCUCAUCAUCCGGAACCCAUAAGCCAAUCCCUCCUUAGUCCUUUUGCCACUAACUGUUUUUACUCGACAAAUUUAACGUGGAAUAAAUAUCAAAAAGUGCUGAA